AUUGAACGCUGGCGGCAGGCUUAACACAUGCAAGUCGAGCGGAGCGAGGGUGCUUGCACCUUAGCUUAGCGGCGGACGGGUGAGUAAUGCUUAGGAAUCUGCCUAUUAGUGGGGGACAACGUUUCGAAAGGAACGCUAAUACCGCAUACGUCCUACGAGAGAAAGCAGGGGACCUUCGGGCCUUGCGCUAUCAGAUGAGCCUAGGUCGGAUUAGCUAGUAGGUGAGGUAAUGGCUCACCUAGGCGACGAUCCGUAACUGGUCUGAGAGGAUGAUCAGUCACACUGGAACGGAGACACGGUCCAGACUCCUACGGGAGGCAGCAGUGGGGAAUAUUGGACAAUGGGCGAAAGCCUGAUCCAGCCAUGCCGCGUGUGUGAAGAAGGUCUUCGGAUUGUAAAGCACUUUAAGUUGGGAGGAAGGGCAGUAAGCUAAUACCUUGCUGUUUUGACGUUACCGACAGAAUAAGCACCGGCUAACUCUGUGCCAGCCGCCGCUGUAAAAC
rnacentral:rRNA from 1 species